rnacentral:misc_RNA from 1 species
GAUGAAGAACGUAGCGAAAUGCGAUAAGUAAUGUGAAUUGCAGAAUUCAGUGAAUCAUCGAAUCUUUGAACGCACAUUGCGCCCUCUGGUAUUCCGGGGGGCAUGCCUGUUCGAGCGUCAUUAUAACCACUCAAGCUCUCGCUUGGUGUUGGGGCACCCGGCCGCCUGGCGGUCGGGGCCCCCAAGUACAUCGGCGGUCCUGCUGGGGCUCCGAGCGCAGUAACUCGCGGUAAAACGCGCCCUCGCUCGGCGGCCUCUUCGGGCUUCCAGCCGCUAAACCCGUCCACUGACGCUUUUCGAGUUGACCUCGGAUCAGGUAGGAAUACCCGCUGAACUUAAGCAUAUCAAUAAGCGGAGGA